GUGACGCCGAAGGAGAGCUAGAGUGUUCCCAAGAACAAGGCUGCUUUAUUUUUCUAAAGCCUAAUUGUGGGGGUGAGGUGAUGUCCUUAGAGAGAAGCAAGGUGGUGAUUUAUGGAUGUCUCCUAGAACUGACAUUUGAGGACGCUGUGGAAGGGCACAUCGGGGGGGCCGCCAAGAGCAGCAGCAGCAGCAUCAGAAAUGUGGUUUAACUGUGUCCCCUGGAAGCCCUUCCUCCUUGACUUCCUGCCAAGAACAGGCUUGGGGCAGGAAGCCCAGAGCCGGGCCCCAAACCCACACUCACCAGC